GCUGGGGCGACGUGCGCGGGCGGUGACUCCGCGUCCCCGGCUGUCACGUAGCGAUCGCGUCAGAGGUGAGAGGUCGGCGACCGGGGUUCCGCCGAGGACGCUGGAGGACUCUUGGCCCUUGGCCCGGCGGUAAUUUGACUAGAUUACGCAAAGAAAGAAUCGAUCACUGGAAGCAAAAGCUUUCUGUUCACCACCGGUGAACAGCUCUUUCCACCAGACAGGAUAAACACGAUUUUCCACCUGGGCUCCGCAGCUGGCUCCUGGUACUUGGUAUGAUGGAGAGUACCGUGGUUAUGCAUGAACGUUGGGUUACAAGCACCCUGGCAUCAGAACCUCUGUUAAGCAUUUUCGCCCACAGCACCUGAUGGUGUGCUGCACAUGGAAAAUACUUGUUGACUCAAGACUAUCUCUCUGCAGAGGAGUCUGGUGGCCAAGGGCCAAGGAAUGCCAGGAGCUAAGAAGCCAUUCAGGAGGAAGACGCUUGAGCAAGGUCAGGGGUGCGCAGGAGUGCAGGAGGAGACUGUAAGUCGUCGAAGGUGCGCCAGCACCAUUAUACAAGUGCUAAAGAAUGAAUGGGGCUGGGCACUGAGCAUUAGUGCUGCUCACCUGGCAAGAAGGGCAGAGGACCACACAGUGCGUGCCUCCUGAGGGAAGAACAGAACCACCUGUGAAGUUGCAAACCUGAAUCUGAUCAAACCUCCCACUUCCAAUUCACAGGAAAUACAGAGAGCAGAGAAACGUGUUAAACAGCACCAUGAGGAUGCAACCAGCACAGUCCAGAUGCUGGGAAAUUUACGUACAGGAUGAACAACCAAGUUGCAAGGAAAAGCAAAACGAUAGAGGUGGAGAGGGAACCUACAGAUCUAAAAAUACUUAAAUAUAUAUAUCAACCACUAACGGUGCGUGGACCUUAUUUGGAUCCUGAAUCAAAGAAACAAACGGUGAUGGGAAAAAUUUGUGAGACCAGUGACUGGAUAUUUGAUAUUAAGGAAUUAGUGUUAACUUUUUAAGGUGUGACAGUGGUCAAAGCCCUUAUCUUUUAAGGACACAUACUGAAAUAUUUACAGCUUACAUGAGAUGUCUGGUAUUUGCUUCAAAAUUACACAGGAAGGGGUAAGUGGAUGGGAGCGUAAGUAAAAAGAUUGAGCACUAGUUGAUAAUCGUUGAAGCUGGAUGCUGGAUACAUGGGAAUUAUUUUAUACUAUUCUGGCACUUUCUCGAAGUGUAUGUUUGAAAAUUGCCAUAAUAAAAAUACUUAAUAAAACUAUAAAACAUAUGUGGUGAGGAGAAAACAUCUGGAUUUGGAAGGAAGGUGCAAUCAGCCAACUGGCUGGGGGCCGUGAGUGGGAGUGCAGGAGUCAGGCUGCCUGGGCCUGGGACACACAUGUGGGGAGGGCCUCCUGGAUGGGCAGAUGGGGUGAAAAGGUGAAGGAGUGGUCGGCAAGCCUUGCAGUUCUCAACUGUUGAUUAACAGUCAGCUUCCUCCGUUUCCAAGACCUUAAAAGUGUUUAAAAGAAAAUAAUUCCACAGAAACAAAAUUGGCCACAAAAAGCUGUCCAUGCCUCCUACCUACUUUCAGGCUCUGUUGUGAGCACCGGUUUCCAAGCCCUACACGAUGUCGUCUUUGCUUGGAGCCUGAGGGUGCGUGCAAGCUGCUGCUGUUUGCCGUCCCUGACCUCGGGCUGGCCAGGCAUCCUGGCUUCAGUCAUGUCCUCAUGGGCAAAGUCGCAGAGCCAAUAACAGUGUUCCAGCUGAUGGAGUACGGACGUCAUCGGGUCCAGCCCUCUACAACUGCUCUCCAGAGAAGCCCUAGGGAGUAGAGUCUUUGUGUCCAAGCAGCACUGGGAGCAGUCUUAGGUAAAACCUCCUCUCUAUCUAGUUGUCCGGAUUCCCCAGAGGUUCUACUCCAGAGCUUCAUUCGGGAUUGCCUUACUAUCUGUGAAGAUGUGAAUAACUGACACUGCAAUCCAUUCCUCUCAAGGUGUUUCUGGGUAAGCCAAAUAAAUGAAUUCCGGUAUUAAGGAAAAGUGAAAAAACAAAAAAAGGGAAAACAGAACAGGGCUAGAUGGACUAUUAGGGGUGGGGUAACAGAGACCGGAAGGGCAGUCAAACAUGGGGUUUGUGGCUCAGUGCAGCCGUACAGAGAUGACUCACUGUAUGCUUUGCACAAGUAGUUCUCUUUCUUUGAGUCUCUGUUUCCCCACCUGUAAGUUGGAGGAGGUGGACACCAUGCACUCUCACUCCCUCAGUGUGAGAUGCGGAGGGCACAAAGGGUCACAGGAAGUGACCCUAUUGCCACUGUGUCAAAUUACCACAAAUUCAGUGGCUUAAGGCAACACAAAUUUAUUAGCUUAAAAUUCUAGAGAUCAAAAGUCUAAAAUGGGUCAGCCCAGCUGCAUUCCUUCCGGAGGCUCAGGGGAGGAUUAGUUCCCUGCCUCUUCUAGCUUUUAGAGGCUGCCUGCAUCCAUUGUCCUGCAACCACAUCCCUCUGACCUCUGUCUCCACCGUCACAUUUCCUUCUCUGAUUCAGAUACUCCUGCCUCCCUUAUAAAGGACCUUGUGAGUACAGUGGCCCCACCGGGAUCAUCCAGGGUACCCUCCCUAGCUCAGGAUCCUUAAUUACUUCUGUCAAGUCCCUUUUGAUAUGUAAGGUAACAUAUCCACAGGCUUCAGGGAUUAGGAUCUGGAUAUUUUGGGGAGGCUACUCUGUUGACCUGUAGGGAGACUACGUUUCCCAAGGAGGCUCCAUAAAGCCUUGGGGGCAUUAAUGGUGGAAUCUACCAAGGCUGGACCAGCCAAUGAGGGCAAAACCUGGGCAAGCAAGACCUCCUGAGCUCAAAUCACACCUCUCUCAGGUGGCCCCUUUUGAAAACUGCUAGACAGGGCAGAACAGAGGCCGAGAAUGAGAUGAGACCAGGGACAAGGCACUGUUUCUGAGUCUGAAGACCUGGGGCUCAGAUGCGCUCAGCCAGUGACUUCCUGCGUGAUUGUGGAGAAGUUACUUUGCUCCUGGGUUAAGUGGGGCUGACCGUUCCUUCCUGGUUUGCCUUCCAGGACUGCCAGAGUUGACAUGAAAGUGCCUGGCCAAUUGUCACGUGCAUAUGACACAUGUUGGUUGCUGUU